AAGGAUCAUUAUUGAAUAAACUUGGUUGGUUGUUGCUGGCUUUUAGGAGCAUGUGCACGCCCGCCAUCUUUAUCUAUCCACCUGUGCACCUUUUGUAGUCUUGGGAAUAAUAACAGUGCAGGCCGACCCGCUCGAUGAGCUUGUCAGCUCUUCGGAUAUGUGGAUUGCUGUGCGGAAAGUACAGCUCUCUGCAAAUGAAGCCUUAUCUCUUACCUCAAGUCUAUGUCCUUUCAUAUACCACAUAGCAUGUUAUAGAAUGUAUUACAUGGGCCUCUGUGCCUAUAAAUCUAUACAACUUUCAGCAACGGAUCUCUUGGCUCUC
rnacentral:misc_RNA from 1 species